UCUUACCGGGACCGACAGCAAUAUGAAGGCCAGGCUGAAGACUUUGCCGGAUUAGCUGAGAGGUGGUGCAUGGCCGUCGUCAGUUCGUACUGUGAAGCAUCCUGUUAAGUCAGGCAACGAGCGAGACCCACGCCCACAGUUGCCAGCGUACUCUCUGGAGUGACGGGUACACUGUGGGACCGCCGCUGCUAAAGCGGAGGAAGGAAUGGGCAACGGUAGGUCAGUAUGCCCCGAAUAUCCCGGGCUACACGCGAGCUACAAUGGUUGGUACAAUGGGUAUCUACCCCGAAAGGGGACGGGAAUCUCCUAAAACCAAUCUUAGUUCGGAUUGAGGGCUGCAACUCGCCCUCAUGAAGCUGGAAUCCGUAGUAAUCGCGUUUCAACAGAACGCGGUGAAUACGUCCCUGCUCCCUU
rnacentral:rRNA from 1 species